rnacentral:rRNA from 1 species
AUGCCGCCCUUCUCCCCGGCCGGCUGGCGUGGGCCCGCCGGGGCGCCCUCGCCCAUCAGCAGCCGCCCGCCCGCGCCGGCUCCGGCGCCAGCACAGCAACACCAGCACCAGCAGCAGAUGGACGAGCAGCACGGGGGGGCCGCGGUGAGCGGGUCUGGCUCGGGGAGCGUGGACGGCGGCGAGGAAGGCGAGCGCGGCGGGUCGUCGUCGGCGGCGGGCGGCAACCGGUGGCCGCGGCAGGAGACGCUGGCGCUGCUCAAGAUCCGGUCCGAGAUGGACGCCGCCUUCCGGGAGGCCGCCCUCAAAGGCCCGCUAUGGGAACAAGUCUCCAGGCGGCUGGCGGAGAUGGGGCACACGAGGAGCGCCAAGAAGUGCCGCGAGAAAUUCGAGAACGUCGACAAGUACUACCGCCGCACCAAGGACGGCCGCACCGGCCGUGGCGACGGCAAGACCUACCGCUUCUUCACCGAGCUCGAGGCGCUCCACGGCGCCUCCGCAGCGCACCACCCGCAGCCUGCUCACGUGGCCGUGGCGCCACCGGCCGCCCCAGCCGCGAGCACAAUUGGCGCGUACUCCGGCGUGCCCUCGGCGCCGCGUGUCCUCGCUCCAGAGCUGUCUCCGCCGCCUCUUCUCCUAACGCAACAGCCGGUGCCUACCGAGGCGGCUGCAUGCCUGACGACAACGACGGCGGCGGUGGGCGACGCGAGCUUCUCUGAUGACUCGGACGGGGAGGACACGGACGAGACGGCCGACGGCGGCAAGCGCAAGCGGCGGGGCGGGAGCUGGGGCCAUGGCGGCAAGGCCAUGAGGUUCUUCGAGGGGCUGAUGCGGCAGGUCAUGGAGCGGCAGGAGGCCAUGCAGAGCCGCCUCCUGGAGGCCAUCGAGCGGCGCGACCAGGACCGCAUGAUCCGCGAGGAGGCCUGGCGCCGGCAGGAGGUGGCGCGCCUCGCACGCGAGCAGGACGCGCUCGCGCAGGAGCGCGCCGUGGCCGCCUCCCGCGACGCCGCCGUCGUGUCCUUCAUCCAGAGGAUCACCGGGCAGAUCGUCCCCGUGCACGCGCCGCCAUCGUCCUUCCCCGCAAAGCCGGCCGCCACCGUCACCUCGGUCAAACCGCCGCCGUUGCAGCCGACGCCCGUCGCCUCCGUGGCACCUGCACCUCCCACGCCACGGCCGCCGGUUCAGGCGCAGCCGAACGUGACUACGCCAAUGAGAACACAACCGCAGACGCCGCCGCCGCAGCCACACGCAACGCCGACGGCGACAGAGCCACAGCCACAGACGCCGCAGACACAGAGCAAGGAGAUUGUCGUCCACGCGCCGGAGCAGCUGCCGGUGGACAUGGCUGGCGGGUGUACUGGCGGCGCGUCGCCGUCUCGGUGGCCGAAGGCGGAGGUGCACGCGCUGAUCCAGCUGCGGACGGAGAUGGAGACGCGGUACCAGGACACGGCGCCCAAGGGCCCGCUGUGGGAGGACAUCUCGGUGGGGAUGCGGCGGCUGGGCUACAACCGGAGCUCCAAGCGGUGCAAGGAGAAGUGGGAGAACAUCAACAAGUACUUCAAGAAGGUCAAGGAGAGCAGCCGGAAGCGCCCCGAGGACUCCAAGACCUGCCCCUACUUCCACCAGCUCGACGCGCUCUACCGCACCAAGGCGCUCGCAUCCUCCUCCUCCUCCUCCGGCGUCCAUGCGCCCGCGCUUGCACCAGCGCCAUCCCCGGCUCGCGUGGAGCCCGCCGCGGUCACCGUGCUUUCGCCGGUGCCGCUGUCUUCCCAGACGCCGCCACCUGCGGCGCAGCACGUCGAGCACGGGGCCAAGAACGUGAUCACCAACGGCAACGGCCAUGGGAACGGGAACGGCGCGGCCAUGCAAGUGAAGGCGAGCAACGGCUCCGGUGCUGCGGCGAUGUUCCCCUCCCCCGUCCAUGCCGCAGGCAACGCCGGCAACAACAACGGCACGGCGACGAACAAACUGGAACUGAAGCAAGAAGGCAUCGCGAAGGAGACGGCACCGGUGCAGCCGGCCGUGGCCAUGAACCACAGCUACGGGCGCAACGACAGGAGGGACGUCUACGACCUGGACAGCGACAGCAUGGACGAGGACGAGGAGGACGACUUCGACGACGACGACGACGAUGAGGAAGACGACGACGCCGUCCCCGGCGGCCGCAACAUCAACAUGCCGCCGGCGCAGUACGACGCCCACUUCCUCCAAAGGCAGCAUCAGCAGCAACAACAUCAGAACCACAACCACAACGUCGUCCGGCCCAACGCGGCGAACGGCAGCGGCAACCCGCCGGCGGGCAACGCGGCAGCUUCGUCGGCAGCGGCGGCAACAAGUGGGACGCCAUUCCUGGCCAUGGUCCAGUGA